AUUGAACGCUGGCGGAAGGCCUAACACAUGCAAGUCGAGCGGAGCGGAGGACGGGUGAGUAAUGCCUAGGAAUCUGCCUGGUAGUGGGGGAUAACGUCAGGAAACGGGCGCUAAUACGGCAUACUAUAAGAUGAGCCUAGGUCGGAUUAGCUAGUUGGUGGGGUAAAGGCCUACCAAGGCGAGGAUCCGUAACUGGUCUGAGAGGAUGAACAGUCACACGGGAACUUAGACACGGUCCAGACGCCUACGGGAGGCAGCAGUGGGGAAUAUUGGACAAUGGGCGAAAGCCUGAUCCAGCCAUGCCGCGUGUGUGAAGAAGGUCUUCGGAUUGUAAAGCACUUUAAGUUGGGAGGCGUUACCAACAGAAUAAGCACCGGCUAACUUCGUGCCAGCAGCCGCGGUUAAUUC
rnacentral:rRNA from 1 species